rnacentral:rRNA from 1 species
GAUGAACGCUGGCGGCGUGCCUAAUACAUGCAAGUCGAGCGAACAGACGAGGAGCUUGCUCCUCUGACGUUAGCGGCGGACGGGUGAGUAACACGUGGAUAACCUACCUAUAAGACUGGGAUAACUUCGGGAAACCGGAGCUAAUACCGGAUAAUAUAUUGAACCGCAUGGUUCAAUAGUGAAAGACGGUUUUGCUGUCACUUAUAGAUGGAUCCGCGCCGCAUUAGCUAGUUGGUAAGGUAACGGCUUACCAAGGCAACGAUGCGUAGCCGACCUGAGAGGGGGAUCGGCCACACUGGAACUGAGACACGGUCCAGACUCCUACGGGAGGCAGCAGUAGGGAAUCUUCCGCAAUGGGCGAAAGCUUGACGGAGCAACGCCGCGUGAGUGAUGAAGGUCUUCGGAUCGUAAAACUCUGUUAUUAGGGAAGAACAAAUGUGUAAGUAACUAUGCACGUCUUGACGGUACCUAAUCAGAAAGCCACGGCUAACUAUGUG